GGAUCAAGAUUUUACAGAAACAAGAUCCCAUGUGGAAGUCCUCUCACUACAAUCUCCAAGGUCCUUCUUGCGGCUUCGUUUAAGUGUUUCAUGAGUGGAAGCUCAAGCAAUGCAGUUGUGAAUAUGGCCGUUAGUCCCUCUAAUUAUAGCGUACCAAAAGGAAAAAAAGAAGAAGUUAAAUCACAAGGAGAAGUGGAAAAGCCACGUCAAGAAGAAGCCGUGCCUCCUCAGCCACAACUAAC